AUUUAAUUUUUAUUAAGUCUCAUUAAUUGAUGAUAGCAUGAGCAUGUAUUAUUUGUAAUAUAAAUUUUUAUAAUCUUUAAUAGUAGCAUAGAAAAAAUUUUCUUCCUUAAUAGAUCAAAUUUUUUGAAAUGAAAAAAUAAAAUAAUGCACACAUUAAGAUGUACUUGCCUUGAUUUGGUAUUCCAAGUAGAUGAACCUUUAUCACUUAUGGAUGAAAGCACACC
rnacentral:lncRNA from 1 species